rnacentral:rRNA from 1 species
UACGUAGGGGGCAAGCGUUGUCCGGAUUCAUUGGGCGUAAAGAGCUCGUAGGCGGCUUGGCAAGUCGGGUGUGAAAACUCCAGGCUCAACCUGGAGACGCCACCCGAUACUGCCAUGGCUUGAGUCCGGUAGGGGACCACGGAAUUCCUGGUGUAGCGGUGAAAUGCGCAGAUACCAGGAGGAACACCGGUGGCGAAGGCGGUGGUCUGGGCCGGUACUGACGCUGAGGAGCGAAAGCGUGGGGAGCGAACAGG